UUUGUACUCCCUCCGUCCCAAAAUUCUUGUCUUAAAUUUUUCUAAAUACGGAUAUAUCUAGUUAUAUUUUAGUGUUAGAUACAUCUGUAUCUAAACAAAUGUAAGACAAGAAUUUUGGGACGGAGGGACUACUAC
rnacentral:pre_miRNA from 1 species